rnacentral:rRNA from 1 species
CCUACGGGAGGCAGCAGUGGGGAAUCUUAGACAAUGGGGGCAACCCUGAUCUAGCCAUGCCGCGUGUGUGAUGAAGGCCUUAGGGUCGUAAAGCUCUUUCACCAGAGAAGAUAAUGACGGUAUCUGGAAAAGAAACCCCGGCUAACUCCGUGCCAGCAGCCGCGGUAAUACGGAGGGGGUUAGCGUUGUUCGGAAUUACUGGGCGUAAAGCGCACGUAGGCGGAUUAAUAAGUUAGAGGUGAAAUCCCAGGGCUCAACCCUGGAACUGCCUUUAAUACUGUUAGUCUUGAGUUCGAGAGAGGUGAGUGGAAUUCCAAGUGUAGAGGUGAAAUUCGUAGAUAUUUGGAGGAACACCAGUGGCGAAGGCGGCUCACUGGCUCGAUACUGACGCUGAGGUGCGAAAGUGUGGGGAGCAAACAGGAUUAGAUACCCUGGUAG